rnacentral:rRNA from 1 species
AUUGAACGCUGGCGGCAGGCCUAACACAUGCAAGUCGAGCGGAUGACGGGAGCUUGCUCCUUGAUUCAGCGGCGGACGGGUGAGUAAUGCCUAGGAAUCUGCCUGGUAGUGGGGGACAACGUUUCGAAAGGAACGCUAAUACCGCAUACGUCCUACGGGAGAAAGCAGGGGACCUUCGGGCCUUGCGCUAUCAGAUGAGCCUAGGUCGGAUUAGCUAGUUGGUGAGGUAAUGGCUCACCAAGGCGACGAUCCGUAACUGGUCUGAGAGGAUGAUCAGUCACACUGGAACUGAGACACGGUCCAGACUCCUACGGGAGGCAGCAGUGGGGAAUAUUGGACAAUGGGCGAAAGCCUGAUCCAGCCAUGCCGCGUGUGUGAAGAAGGUCUUCGGAUUGUAAAGCACUUUAAGUUGGGAGGAAGGGCAGUAGGUUAAUACCUUGCUGUUUUGACGUUACCGACAGAAUAAGCACCGGCUAACUCUGUGCCAGCCGCCGCGGUAA